rnacentral:rRNA from 1 species
UACGGAGGGUGCGAGCGUUGUCCGGAAUCACUGGGCGUAAAGGGCGCGUAGGCGGCCUGAUAAGUAGGGGGUGAAAUCCUGCGGCUUAACCGCAGGGCUGCCUUCUAAACUGUCAGGCUAGAGCACAGUAGAGGCAGGUGGAAUUCCCGGUGUAGCGGUGGAAUGCGUAGAGAUCGGGAAGAACAUCAGUGGCGAAGGCGGCCUGCUGGGCUGUUGCUGACGCUGAUGCGCGAAAGCCAGGGGAGCGAACGGG